GUAAAGGGGUUGAUUGGUUGACGGACGGGCGGCAGGCAGUCAACCUUUGCACACCGGACGUCAAAAGGCGCACGGCUGGGUUGCUGGCGACAGGUUGGCUCCAUCGCGCCAGCUGUGCAAGACCGAAGCUUCCUUUGCUAACGGACCGGUCCCCCCCUCCGGCUCUCUUCCACCCCCUGGAGGUUUACAAGUUGAGUUCAAGGCAAGGACACUGGGUUCUUCUCUCCUGGAUUUGCACAACCAUCCUGUGAGGUGCCUCCUUUGAAUCGUGCUUGCCUGGAUGUGUGAGUAGCUAUUUAUGAUGGAGCGCCACCCCACUCAGUAGCCCUGU